CAUGUCACAGCAGCCUGGGUGAAAGAGGGAAAUCCUGUGUCUACAAAAAAAAUAAAUAAAUAAAUAAAUAAAUAAAAAUCAUCCUAAUCAUCUUUUCUUUUUUUUUUUUUUUUUUGAGACGGAGUCUCUCGCUCUUGUCGCCCUGGCUGGAGUGCAGUGGCGCAAUCUCGGCUCACUGCAACCUCCGCCUCCCGGGUUCAAGGGAUUCUCCUGCCUCAGCCUCCUGAGUAGCUGGGAUUACAGGCGCACGCCACCAAGCCAGGCUAAUUUUUGUACUUU
rnacentral:lncRNA from 10 species